rnacentral:rRNA from 1 species
GACGAACGCUGGCGGCGUGCUUAACACAUGCAAGUCGAACGAAGUGGCGAACGGGUGAGUAACGCGUAAUCAACCUGCCCUUCAGAGGGGGACAACAGUUGGAAACGACUGCUAAUACCGCAUAAUGAAGGGAGGGGUUGCGUGGGAUUAGGCAGUUGGAGGGGUAACGGCCCACCAAGGCGAUGAUCAGUAGCCGGUCUGAGAGGAUGAACGGCCACAUUGGGACUGAGACACGGCCCAGACUCCUACGGGAGGCAGCAGUGGGGAAUCUUCCGCAAUGGACGAAAGUCUGACGGAGCAACGCCGCGUGAGUGAUGACGGCCUUCGGGUUGUAAAGCUCUGUUAAUCGGGACGCGGUACCGGAAUAGAAAGCCACGGCUAACUACGUGCCAGCAGCCGCGGUAAUAC